UACGUAGGGGGCAAGCGUUGUCCGGAAUCAUUGGCGUAAAGAAGCGUGUAGGCGGCCAGAUAAGUCCGCUGUGAAAUCUCGAGGCUCAACUUCGAGCUGUCGGUGGAAACUGUCUGGCUAGAGUCCGGAAGAGGAGAAUGGAAUUCCUGGUGUAGCGGUGAAAUGCGCAGAUAUCAGGAAGAACACCCGUGGCGAAGGCGGUUCUCUGGGACGGUACUGACGCUGAGACGCGAAAGCGUGGGGAGCGAACAGG
rnacentral:rRNA from 1 species